UACGUAGGGGGCAAGCGUUGUCCGGAUUCAUUGGGCGUAAAGAGCGUGUAGGCGGCCAGGUAGGUCCGUUGUGAAAACUCGAGGCUCAACCUCGAGACGUCGAUGGAAACCAUCUGGCUAGAGUCCGGAAGAGGAGAGUGGAAUUCCUGGUGUAGCAGUGAAAUGCGCAGAUAUCAGGAAGAACACCUAUGGCGAAGGCAGCUCUCUGGGACGGUACUGACGCUGAGACGCGAAAGCGUGGGGAGCGAACAGG
rnacentral:rRNA from 1 species